rnacentral:lncRNA from 10 species
ACGCCGCAGGGGUCCACUCAGCUGUGCGCGCCUCGCGAGCCGACUGGGGCUAGGGCGAGGCCUCGGGACCGCGGGCAGCCGCGAAGCCCGACUGCCCGGCCCUCGGCUCGGGAGCCAGAUGGACGCCGUGGGCUGAGGAGAGGCCUGAGGAAAAGGUUGCCCCCACCCGCGGGAUUGAGGCGGCCGGGCCGCCGCGGGCCUCUGCGACGCUGAUAGGUCGCGCCUUGGCGGGCGGGGGCAGCUUUGGCGGGAGAUUCGGCCGCGCGCGACGCGGCGCAGGUCGUGGGGGAAGGGUCGCAACAGUUGACAACUACACUGAGUCUUUCCGGUCCCACUGCCCUGGCCGUUGACCGCACACCGGCCACCGACUGAGCCGCUAGUUUCGGUUGCCGCUGCCUCCCUGCCCGUCCAUGACGUCCUCCACUGUGUCGCCGGUGCAUGACGCUCCCACCCUCUGCCUGGAGUUGACUGGGUUUGUAUCCUGAAGAAUCCCUGGCUCAGCAGGACGCAGCUGCAAACAUAAGUGAACCGGAAAGGCUGCUCACUCCUUGGCUACCCAUGUGUCCCCACAUCAGUUCCUGCAUCUGGAAGCAGCCGCAGUGGCGACCACACAGUGACUUCCCCCAGGACGUGUCUCUGCCCCUCCCACCCUGCUCCUGCAGAGGGCCCUGGGUCAGGGGUUCUCAAGACCCCAGAGUCCCUAACCAGAAAUCAGAGGGGAAGGUUCCUACUGUACCCGCCUCCCAACCAAUGGGUUUUUCCUCCUUAUUCUGAACAAAGCACGCCACGCACGCAAUUCCACCUCUAAGGUGGCUUCUCCAAUACCCACAGGCCAUUCUCCAACUAUGACAAAAGUUUGGUUUUAAUAUCGGGCAACACAAAACACAGUACAUCACUUCAGACUAAAU